UACGGAAGGCAGCAGUGGGGAAUAUUGCACAAUGGGCGCAAGCCUGAUGCAGCCAUGCCGCGUGUAUGAAAAAGGCCUUCGGGUUGUAAAGUACUUUCAGUCGUGAGGAAGGUGUUAAGGUUAAUAACCUUAGCAAUUGACGUUAGCGACAGAAGAAGCACCGGCUAACUCCGUGCCAGCAGCCGCGGUAAUACGGAGGGUGCGAGCGUUAAUCGGAAUUACUGGGCGUAAAGGGCACGCAGGCGGUUAAUUAAGUUGGAUGUGAAAUCCCCGGGCUUAACCUGGGAAUGGCAUUCAAGACUGGUUAGCUAGAGUCUUGUAGAGGGGGUAGAAUUCCAUGUGUAGCGGUGAAAUGCGUAGAGAUAUGGAGGAAUACCGGUGGCGAAGGCGGCCCCUGGACAAAGACUGACGCUCAUGUGCGAAAGCGUGGGGAGCAAACAGGGAUUAGAUACC
rnacentral:rRNA from 1 species